UUUCUAUAUUCACAUAUGGAGAAAGCCAUUACAUUCAAGUAUGUUAUAGUCACUGCAUUACUAAUCACCACAGUGGUUGGAGUUAGCCAUCCUUUGGGUGUAGACGGGGAAAAUUGCUUUCGGAAAUCUUGUCGAGUUGGAGCUCCCGGGACGAACAUAUGUCCUCCUCCCUCAUGCACAGCUAAAUAUGAUUGUUUGAAAUAUUGUGUUCCGAAUCCUGAACCCUUUUGUCAAGGUGGUACAUGUUGUUGUUGGUAAAGCAUGUGUUCAAUGAAGUAAGAAUGAUAAAUCCUAAUAAACUUAAGUGUAAUUUUUGGGGUUUCAUGGUUGAGUUAUUGGUCUCUUUACUAUCAA